UUUUUUUUUAUGUAUGUUACAUCAGAACUUUUGACCAUGUGGACCGAUUUCGACAAUUUUUUUUAAUCGAAAGGUGAUGUGUGUCAAUUGGUCCCAUUUAAAUUUAUUUGAAAUCUAACAACUACUUUUCGAGUUAUAUCUAAUAAUGCGUUUUUACUUGACGCUUUUUUCGUUGACCUACGUUGUAUUAUACCGCAUAACUUUCUACUGGAUGUACCGAUUUUGA
rnacentral:misc_RNA from 1 species